AUUGAUAAGUCAGUGGUGAAAACCUGCAGCUUAACUGUAGACUUGCCGUUGAUACUGUUAGUCUUGAGUAUGGUCAAGGCAGGCGGAAUGUGUAAUGUAGCGGUGAAAUGCUUAGAUAUUACACAGAACACCGAUUGCGAAGGCAGCUUGCUGGGCCAUUACUGACGCUGAUGCACGAAAGCGUGGGGAUCGAACAGGAUUAGAUACCCUGGUAGUCCACGCCGUAAACGAUGAUCACUCGCUGUUGGCGAUACACAGUCAGCGGCUAAGCAAAAGCAUUAAGUGAUCCACCUGGGGAGUACGGCCGCAAGGCUGAAACUCAAAGGAAUUGACGGGGGCCCGCACAAGCGGAGGAACAUGUGGUUUAAUUCGAUGAUACGCGAGGAACCUUACCUGGGCUUAAAUGUUGAGUGCAUUGGAGGGAAACUUUCAUUUUCUUCGGAACUCUCAGCAAGGUGCUGCAUGGUUGUCGUCAGCUCGUGCCGUGAGGUGUCGGGUUAAGUCCCAUAACGAGCGCAACCCUUAUCGUUAGUUGCCAGCGGGUAAAGCCGGGAACUCUAACGAAACUGCCGGUGUAAACCGAGAGGAAGGUGGGGAUGACGUCAAAUCAGCACGGCCCUUAUGUCCAGGGCUACACACGUGUUACAAUGGCCGGUACAGAGGGCAGCUAUGCCGUGAGGCAAUGCGAAUCUCGAAAGCCGGUCUCAGUUCGGAUCGGAGUCUGCAACUCGACUCCGUGAAGCUGGAUUCGCUAGUAAUCGCGCAUCAGCCAUGGCGCGGUGAAUACGUUCCCGGGCCUUGUACACACCGCCCGUCAAGCCAUGGAAGUUGGGGGUACCUGAAGUCCGUAACCGCAAGGAGCGGCCUAGGGUAAAACCAGUGACUGGGGCUAAGUCGUAACAAGGUAAC
rnacentral:rRNA from 1 species